UCUUCGGAGAUGAGGGUGGUCGCCAAUCCUGGAAGAGCCCCCAAAUUAAAGACCCCCGGAGUGGGGAGACCCUCACUCAAGUCUUGGGAUGACUCGACCCCCCAAGAACUCAAGUAAGACC
rnacentral:pre_miRNA from 14 species